CAGUCGCCGCGGUAAUACAGAGGAUGCAAGCGUUAUCCGGAAUGAUUGGGCGUAAAGCGUCUGUGGGUGGCUUUUCAAGUCCGCCGUCAAAUCCCAGGGCUCAACCCUGGACAGGCGGUGGAAACUACCAAGCUGGAGUACGGUAGGGGCAGAGGGAAUUUCCAGUGGAGCGGUGAAAUGCGUUGAGAUCGAAAAGAACACCAACAGCGAAAGCACUCUGCUGGGACGACACUGACACUAAGAGACGAAAGCUAGGGGAGCAAAUGGGAUUAGAUACCCCGGUAGUCCCUGUCUCUUAUAC
rnacentral:rRNA from 1 species